UACGUAGGGGGCAAGCGUUGUCCGGAUUUAUUGGGCGUAAAGAGCGUGUAGGCGGCCAAACAGGUCCACUGUGAAAACUCGAGGCUCAACCUCGAGAGGUCGGUGGAAACCGUCUGGCUAGAGUCCGGAAGAGGAGAGUGGAAUUCCCCGGUGUAGCGGUGAAAUGCGCAGAUAUCGGGAAGAACACCCGUGGCGAAGGCGGCUCUCUGGGACGGUACUGACGCUGAGACGCGAAAAGCGUGGGGAGCGAACAGGA
rnacentral:rRNA from 1 species